UCCAUGUUGCUGCAGAAGCUAUAAUUUUAUUCUUUUGAAUGCUUUAAGCGUUCCAAAUCAUUGAAUUACUGAGAAGAUUAAAUGAGGGUAAAACAAUCCUUGAUACAUACCAACCAUCCAAUAAGAUUUGGCUGCAAUCACUACUUGUCAUCAUCAGUGACUGUAACAGAAGCAUGAAGACCAUAGCAAAGAGUCUGGAUACAGUGAAACAAGAAAUCGAGAGCCUUGUUAUUUCCUGCCUAAGGUAAUGCCAUGAGAAACAAACAAACAAGCAAAAUCGUAUUUUAUAGAGCUGAAAAAAAUCAUUUAUUUAAGGAAAAUAAAGAAGACGAGGAGAGGAGUAAGGAUUUGACGGGGGGAAUGGAGACAGGCCAGGCAGAAAUAAGAGCUUGGAUUACAUUUUUAAUAGCCUAAAAUAUGGAAAGAAAUGAUUGAGGUUGAUAUAUUGCAGACCUGUUUUCUUCUUUGACAGAAAAUUCCUUAAGAUUCUAGGAUGCAAAGAUUGGCAGUCAAAUUCAUUCAGAUGUACAGACUUUAUUCUUUUAUAAAAAGCCAUCCCACUGAUAUGCUUAUAAAAGCAGAUAUACAUUGUAGGGACUGUUGUGAAAUUGCCAGGCUCUUGUGGUCUCUAGUAGCUCCAUUUGCAUGCUAAUGAAACCAGAGGCCAGAUGCCACUAAUUACAACCCAGUCACUCUGUCCAACACCCCACAACCAACUGCCAGUGAAUGGACCUUGUCAUUCCAUUAUGCAAAUGAUACUUAGGAAGAACAGGAAUAAGUUCUAAAUAGUGGCAACCAGAGCCAUAUAUUGGCAGGAGGUAAAUUAAUAAAUAUAUUCAAGAAAUGGAAAUUAAAAAUUAUUAUUCAACAGUAGAUUAAUCAUGGCUGAAUAAAUAUGGAACAGAACAACUUUUUUUUUUCUUAGUGUUCUGAGCAAUCGAAUGAAACUUUCAGUAACUUAUUAAGGUGUAGUAAAUUGUAUUUCCAGAAAUCAUCCAUCAGGUUGCUAAAGGGUUAAGCAUUCUUAACACACUCAAGUGUUUUUUUUUUCUGCAUGAGACAAACAAACAAAAUCCUUAAGAGUGUUUUUCUUGGGUUACAAAGUUAUGUUAAAUAAAAAUAAAAAUGGAGGGAAAACCUUUGCUUCUGAGCCAAUGGCCCACACCAGCUCAAGAAAACUUAUAAAGACCGAUUCUGGAAAUGUCAGAAAUGAAGCUUGAGCUUUAUUUCCUUGUAAGCAUGACUCAGCACAUGCAGACAAUCAUCUAUUACCUACGUAACCUGCUCUGAUCAUCCUAAAAGGAAAGAUACUGUAAAAUAACCAAUGAGAAUCAAGAUGUAUGAACUUCUUUUUUUCCGUUUUUUAAACCUUAACUAUAACCUUUAGGAGAUGAGCUUCUUGCCAUUUUCUAUUUUGGAGUCUCUGUUCUGGAAUAGUGUGUUCUCAAUAAAAUAUUCAUGUCAAGUAAAA
rnacentral:lncRNA from 1 species